rnacentral:rRNA from 1 species
GACGAACGCUGGCGGCGUGCUUAACACAUGCAAGUCGAGCGAGAAACCUUCGGGUUUCUAGCGGCGGACGGGUGAGUAACACGUGGGUAACCUGCCUCAAAGAGGGGGAUAGCCUUCCGAAAGGAAGAUUAAUACCGCAUAGUAUUACAGUUUCGCAUGAAGCAGUAAUUAAAGGAGUAAUCCGCUUCGAGAUGGACCCGCGGCGCAUUAGCUAGUUGGAGAGGUAACGGCUCACCAAGGCAACGAUGCGUAGCCGACCUGAGAGGGUGAUCGGCCACAUUGGAACUGAGACACGGUCCAGACUCCUACGGGAGGCAGCAGUGGGGAAUAUUGCACAAUGGGCGAAAGCCUGAUGCAGCAGCGCCGCGUGAGUGAUGAAGGUCUUCGGAUUGUAAAGCUCUGUCUUUUGGGACGAUAAUGACGGUACCAAAGGAGGAAGCCACGGCUAACUACGUGCCAGCCGCCGCGGUAA